AAACACUUGCAUGUUUUGCCGCAGCAACUCUGCGCCGAAAAGCAGCCCGAAAGGGUGAUGUGGUGCCCUUGGACAAAAAUAUUAAAUGCUAGUCCGGCCUUCUCACAGGCUGGGCGACACACUCAAACUGCGGGAAACCCCUAAAGCCUUCACUACCAAGCUUGUGUUUCGAAAGGACAUGGUGGCCAGGUUAAUUGCCUCGGGUACGGUCACAACGUGAAGGAUGUUCCAAUGGGCAAUCCGCAGCCAAGCCCCUACGUGUAGUGUCUGUAAUACUACAGACAUUUCAUAUGGGGAAGGUUCAGAGACUAAAUGGGUGUGGGUGCGUUACUCUUGAAGUGACAAGCUUAAGAUAUAGUCCGGCUUCAGUAGAAAUGCUGGAGAUCAGGUUCCACCUGUGAUUAAAACGGGAGCCUGCGGCUUAAUUU
rnacentral:ncRNA from 12 species